rnacentral:tRNA from 1 species
CGCUAAGAAGCUAAAUAUGGGUCAGCGUUAGCCUUUUAAGCUAGAGAUCGGUACUUACCAACUACCCUUAGCGA